rnacentral:lncRNA from 1 species
GGACAGUCAGAAGGAUAAACAAAAUGACUUUUUAUUUUUUUUGGAGACAGAAUCUCACUCUGUCAACCAGGCUGGAGUGCAGUGGCGUGAUCUUGGCUCACUGCAAUCUCAGCCUCCCGGGUUCAAGUGAUUCUCCUGCCUCAGCCUCCCAAGUAGCUGAGAUUACAGGCAUAUGCAACCAUGCCCAGCUAACUUUUUUGUAUUUUUAGUAGAGACAGAGUUUCGCCAUGUUGGCCAGGCUGUUCUCGAACUCCUGACCUCAAGUGAUCUGCCCACCUCGGCCUCCAAAAGUGCUGGGAUUCUAGGCAUGAGCCACUGUGCCCGGCCUAAAGGAAAUGACUUCUGAGUACAGUUCUAAAGGAUGAGGAAUGAUUAGUAUGUGAGAAGAGGAAGGAGGAAGAUGUGCCAGGCAGAGGGGACAGCAUUUGCAAAGAUCGGGAUGGAGAUGUGCAAUCUAAGACUCAGAGAAGCUGGAGAAUUUUCCUAACGUCACACAGCAAAGGAAUGGAAGACUCAGGACAAGAAUACACGAUCCUCUCCUUCCAACAUGUCACCCAGCAGAACAAGAGAAGGAAUCACAAUUGGUCCAUGACAGUCACGGUCAUCUCAUUCCUCUUGCCAGUGGCAGGUGUAUGUGUGAGUUUGCAGCUCAAUCCUGGCCAAGGGGAUCCAAGGACUGCUGAAGAGGCAUGUCUGCACAUGUCACCUAGAACAUCUCCAGCCAUCAUGUGAUCUCUGGGGGAGGCAUUCCCAACUCUCUGAGAGAAGCAGACCAGAAAGAUGGAAAGAAAGCACCUGGCUCCAGGAUGAUGACAUUGAGCCGAUGAAUUAACCACCUUUGUGCUGCUCUAACCUUCAGAGUUCACCUUAACAUGAGAAAAUAAAACCCUUAUUGCUUAGCCACUGGGAUCUUCUUUUAUUUGCAGCCAAAAGUAUCUUAACUGAUAUAAUUAUCUCUCCCAUAUAGAAAUGGGGCCUUAUGUGUCCAAAUAGGCAAUGUACA